CCUACGGGAGGCAGCAGUGAGGAAUAUUGGUCAAUGGACGAGAGUCUGAACCAGCCAAGUAGCGUGAAGGAUGACUGCCCUAUGGGUUGUAAACUUCUUUUAUAUGGGAAUAAAACGUUCCACGUGUGGGAUUUUGUAUGUACCAUAUGAAUAAGGAUCGGCUAACUCCGUGCCAGCAGCCGCGGUAAUACGGAGGAUCCGAGCGUUAUCCGGAUUUAUUGGGUUUAAAGGGAGCGUAGGUGGGUUGUUAAGUCAGUUGUGAAAGUUUGCGGCUCAACCGUAAAAUUGCAGUUGAAACUGGCAGUCUUGAGUACAGUAGAGGUAGGCGGAAUGCGUGGUGUAGCGGUGAAAUGCUUAGAUAUCGCGAAGAACUCCGAUUGCGAAGGCAGUUCACUGGACUGCAACUGACACUGAGGCUCGAAAGUGUGGGUAUCAAACAGGAUUAGAUACCCUAGUAGUC
rnacentral:rRNA from 1 species